GCAAACUUGGUCAUUUAGAGGAAGUAAAAGUCGUAACAAGGUUUCCGUAGGUGAACCUGCGGAAGGAUCAUUCAUAAUAAAAGUGAAAUUAAUUAAUAUGGCACUUUUAAAACAAUCCAUAUCCACCUUGUGUGCAAUGUUAUUAUUAUUAUCAACUCUUUUAAAAUACUACUUAUCUGAAAUUAUUUUAUGAAUUUUUUUUUACUUAAUUCAAAAAUAUAACUUUCAACAACGGAUCUCUUGGCUCUCGCAUCGAUGAAGAACGCAGC
rnacentral:misc_RNA from 1 species